rnacentral:lncRNA from 1 species
UGGUGGUUGAAGUGCUCACACCUCCCGAUAGAAAAACUAAAAUCCAUCUGAUCUCCAUCUCAAUAUUAAAAAAUCUGUCACUGAAUCUGAGUAGGGAGCUCUCCACACUCUCCAGUCUAGUAGUCAGAUCAGACAAGAGCUCCAUCAAUGAAGAUAUGUGUGGCACCAUAGAAAAAUUUAAGGAAGAAUUAGAGAAAGAAUUCAUGGAGCCUAGCGAUACUACUACUGCACC